AACGCACGAGACCUGCGGACCUGCGGAAGGAUCAUUAAUGAAUAAAAAGUCAGUUGGAUUUGUUGCUGGCUUUUUUCAACAGCAUGUGCACAAUCCGGUCUGACAUUUAUGCUCAUUUUCCAACCCCUUGUGCACUUCUGUAGAUCCUGAAUGGCUCUCAAGUAAAUAAUAAUAAUAAUAAUAAUUUACUUGGUUCUGGAGAAUUUGCUGUUGCAUAAUAAAUAUCUUAUGCAUGGCUUA
rnacentral:misc_RNA from 1 species